GAUGAAGAACGUAGCGAAAUGCGAUAAGUAAUGUGAAUUGCAGAAUUCAGUGAAUCAUCGAGUCUUUGAACGCACAUUGCGCCCCCUGGUAUUCCGGGGGGCAUGCCUGUCCGAGCGUCAUUCCGCCCUCAAGCACGGCUUGUGUGUUGGGCCCCCGCCCCCCGGCUUCGGGGGGCGGGCCCGAAAGGCAGCGGCGGCACCGCGUCCGGUCCUCGAGCGUAUGGGGCUUCGUCACCCGCUCUGUAGGCCCGGCCGGCGCCCGCCGGCGACCCCAAUCAAUCUUUCCAGGUUGACCUCGGAUCAGGUAGGGAUACCCGCUGAACUUAAGCAUAUCAAUAAGCGGAGGA
rnacentral:misc_RNA from 1 species